CCUAGCCAGCGACUGCGAAUUCGUUGGCAGCUGGAGAGGCCUCUGCAUUUUAGGAGAGGCGUUCCGUCUCUGACAGCAUAGGGUUGCUCAGAGGUUCAAAGGUGCAACUGAUGCACCAGAUGCUUCCGCCUAUGUAUGUGUGCGCCGGAUGCAAGACGUCGGCGGUGCCCAUCUCUUUGCACAUGACGGCAGCUGGGCCAUUAGCCUAUUUUCGGAAGCACACUGCAAAUGAAGUCACAGCUGUGCACCUCUAUCAGGCCCUAUGUGCCCUCUUCAUAACAUCAUCUCACAACAAAGGCCAUGACUGGUAUUAUAGGGUGAAAACUCCAUAAUGCUUGCCACUGGACUUGUCACCGCACACUACACAAUCCACCUGAAUUCCAGGCCGUUCCUCGUCACCCUGCUCCGGGUCGCUCAUGCCUCCAGGAGGUGAAGCCUCAUCCUCCUCUGAGUUUCUGGGGUAGCCCUUCCCCAUCCCGUUAGUGUCACCGUUGGGAUCUCCCCAGCCCCCAGACACCAUGGCCAUAACAGCACCCAAGUCAAUAAAAUGUAUGAAAUGA